CCCGCCUCUUCCUUCUCCUGCGCCUCGGCGGCCGCCAGAGCCGCUCUUCAGGGAGGAAGCGGCCUCCGGGGCUUGUUGCUUUGUGCUGCAACCAUGGUGAGGAGUGAGUGACGGGCCGGGGGCCAGUCGGAGGCCGCCGCAUCAUCGGGGGCGGAGCGCCCCGUGGCGCCGGCCCGCCCCAUCGCUGGCCUGGCGGGGCCGCGCCCUCGCUGAGAGCCGCGUUCUGCCGGGACCAGUGACUGCAAGGACAACGUUGCUCUCCCUCCUUCCGCGCUCACUGACAUCUAAACCCUUAAAUGACUCCUGCGUUAGGCAGGUAGGAAUGUGGCUUUCCAACUCCAGACCUGGUAUCACAUCGGACAAGAAAACACCAGAUGGAUUUGAGAUUCCUCACCAUAUCC
rnacentral:lncRNA from 1 species